AGCGAACGCUGGCGGCAGGCCUAACACAUGCAAGCCGAACGAAGUCUUCGGACUUAGUGGCGGACGGGUGAGUAACACGUGGGAACGUGCCUUUAGGUUCGGAAUAACUCAGGGAAACUUGUGCUAAUACCGAAUGUGCCCUUCGGGGGAAAGAUUUAUCGCCUUUAGAGCGGCCCGCGUCUGAUUAGCUAGUUGGUGAGGUAAAGGCUCACCAAGGCGACGAUCAGUAGCUGGUCUGAGAGGAUGAUCAGCCACAUUGGGACUGAGACACGGCCCAAACUCCUACGGGAGGCAGCAGUGGGGAAUCUUGCGCAAUGGGCGAAAGCCUGACGCAGCCAUGCCGCGCGAAUGAUGAAGGUCUUAGGAUUGUAAAAUUCUUUCACCGGGGACGAUAAUGACGGUACCCGGAGAAGAAGCCCCGGCUAACUUCGUGCCAGCCGCCGCGGUAACAC
rnacentral:rRNA from 1 species